rnacentral:rRNA from 1 species
CCUACGGGGGGGCUGCAGUGGGGAAUAUUGGACAAUGGGGGCAACCCUGAUCCAGCCAUGCCGCGUGUGUGAAGAAGGCCCUCGGGUUGUAAAGCACUUUCAGUGAGGAAGAACGCCUGGUGGUUAAUACCCAUCAGGAAAGACAUCACUCACAGAAGAAGCACCGACUAACUCCGUGCCAGCAGCCGCGGUAAUACGGAGGGUGCGAGCGUUAAUCGGAAUUACUGGGCGUAAAGCGCGCGUAGGUGGCUUGAUAAGCCGGUUGUGAAAGCCCCGGGCUCAACCUGGGAACGGCAUCCGGAACUGUCAAGCUAGAGUGCAGGAGAGGAAGGUAGAAUUCCCGGUGUAGCGGUGAAAUGCGUAGAGAUCGGGAGGAAUACCAGUGGCGAAGGCGGCCUUCUGGACUGACACUGACACUGAGGUGCGAAAGCGUGGGUAGCAAACAGGAUUAGAUACCCUUGUAGUC